rnacentral:rRNA from 1 species
AUGGAUGGCGCAUCUUGUGGACUGUUUAUGCUAAAUUUUAUGGAAUAUUGGACAGCAGAUGUAUUAACAGAUCAGUUCACCCAGGAAGAUAUCAAGCACUUUCGACGAAAAUUAGUUGUCAUUUUGCUCGAUUCAGAACUGAAUAAGCUAAAAGGAUGUCCGAUAUACCAUCAACCAGACAUUAAAGAAAAUGUAUCGAAAUCUGAUCUCGAGCUCCUAGAUAAUCCACCGGAUGGAGUCAAAGACAGACAUCCGAGCCCAAUCCUCAGCAUGCCCACGGAUCAAUUUGAAUUGCUUGUCGGCCUUUGCAACUAUAUCAUGUCCAUUGAUGAUGCCAGGUGUUUGGAAAAAGAAUGGGACCGAAGCUCGACACCCCGUCCAAUGGGCUUAAGUCUCAAAAAACUUCAAAGCAUACUUAACAUGAAGCAGUCUAUGGACAAUGAUUUUUCAACAUUGCUGUGCGUAUUCUGGCAUGUGACGAGGGAGUAUUGUUCACAGACCCUUCAAUACACUACAUGGAUCUACAAUUUUGUUCCAUGCUGUGGGAUUCAACACGAGAUCAAAAGUUUUUGCGAUAAGGAAACUAUUCAGAAGUUGGCAACUUUGUUUGAUAGCUGGCAUGGGAGAGACAACAACAUAUUAUCGUGCAACAUGGUCAUCGACAAAGAGGCAUGUCAUGUAUCUAUUCUGGAUCCUAUUCGUACAACACAAAUGACGAAGAUGAAAAAUUUGAGGCACUUAGUGAAAUUAAAAAGUUUUGCGAGGGAAUUCAAAGAAGCACUCGAAAUAAAGCAACCAGGAUGGCAUUCUGAUAUAUCAAAAUGCCAACGUGUAUUUCCUAAUGGUAUUCCAACGAGCAUAGACGGGGAUUUGUCAGGUUUUUAUGUCUUUCAUUUUAUGCUCUGGUGGAACGGUAAAGACCUUGUGCAACCGGUUUGUGCAGAUGGGUAUGAGUUGAGGAAGCUAAAGACAACUUGCCUGAUAUUGUGCGAGAAUUUCUUAAGCGCAUCAAGUAGAUCUCAAUAUUCUAUAAUAUAUUUUUAUUUGGAUCAUUACUUUACAUGUAUACGUUCUCAAUUUGAUAUCUUGUUAUGA